rnacentral:rRNA from 1 species
GACAGAGGGUGCUAGCGUUGUUCGGAAUUACUGGGCGUAAAGGGCGCGUAGGCGGUCUGCUAAGUUCGGUGUGAAAUCCCCUGGCUCAACUGGGGAACUGCGCUGGAAACUGGCAGACUCGAGUACCGGAGAGGAGAGUGGAAUUCCUGGUGUAGCGGUGAAAUGCGCAGAUAUCAGGAGGAACACCGAUGGCGAAGGCAGGUCUCUGGGCAUUAACUGACGCUGAGGAGCGAAAGCAUGGGGAGCGAACAGG